rnacentral:lncRNA from 1 species
GCCAACCGUGUGAGUGUAAGGAAUUCAGUUAACCUCCUUGAGCUGAGCUUCCUUGUCUGUAUCAUAAACACAACCACAUGUCCCUCCGUGGGGAUUAAUGUGUGGACCUAAUACUGCACACCUGGCAGAGACUGCUUAGGACACUCCCUACUUCUCCCAUGACAACAAAGCUCCCCAUGGCUCUUCCCAUCUGCAGUUCUCAAAGUCAUCAUAAUUGGUCAACCAACCCACCCGUCCAUCUAGCCAUCCAUCCACCCACCAGGAAGUACGCAACCCAUGAAGCAGCCUUGGCAAGUACCACCCCCGAGGACAGAGGCUAGAAUAAAAUCAAGAGCUGCCACCAGUUUCAGAUUUCCUGACCAGCUAAAGACCAGUGGGAUGUGUGGUGUGUUUUCCAAAGGCAAGUUUCUGGACCAGAGAUUCCCGCAGCCUGGCUCGGCAGGGGCCAGGUACUUCUGGAAGGCGAGCAUUCCUAAAAUACGUUCUUUGAGAAGCUCCGAAUGGUCAUAUCCAUUCACCAUCUCUAAGGCACCGAGUCUUUGCUGGUUAUCAAUGGAAAGGAUGGAUCGUGAGUUCCAAGCUGUUAGCAACAGCUAACAUUUAUUUAUCAAUAAUAUUGUCCCAAUAGACUGUCUGUGGCGGCCACAACACCCCUUCCCAAGGAUCUAUGGGUCCCUCCCAGCCAGCUGUUGGGGGGUGGGGUUACUAUUAUUAUCCAAAUACAUAGCACAACAAUUAGGAGCCCAGAGAUGAGAGCCAGCAAAGUUUGCGUUCCUGCUCUCACACACUGCAUGACACUGUACAAGUCUCAAUGUCUUUAUCUGUAAAAUGGAAAAUAUGAUACUUAACCCACAAACUUCAUGUCAGGAUUAAAAGACAUCACAUAUGAAAUGUCCUUUCACAGUGCUGACCCAGUG